AGAGUCCAGAGGCAGAGGCUGUUUGUAGAAUGCCCUAUGGUUACAGCCAUUACUGAGCCAGGGAAGUACUACAAAGCCAUCCAACAGCAGAAAAGUAAUGGGGCCUUCCUCCCUGUCUCACCAGCUUGCAUCUCUUUGAUUCCAUCUGAAUGUUCACUUCCAAUUGAAGCUCCCAACUGGCAGGAACUCUUGGCUUAGCCAGAGAGCUUCCUUCGGACUUGUGUUCCCGGCACCCAGUGCUCAUUGAAGCAGCCCUCAGCCUCCUCAUGAGGACUAGGGACAGUGGGGACUGCACCAUGAACUCCGGAUCAUGCCUGAGUGCCAGCACGGUGGCCUUUCCCACCAUCACUGGCAGCAGCAUGGCCAUGAGUGCCUACAGCAGCAGCAACGCCAGUGCCUUUGUGAGGACGCCUGUGGGGCCAAGUGGGGUGGAUGGGCAGCAGGGCAGCAAGGGUCGGAAUCUGGGAGUACCCCUCUCUCCUGUCCCAACCCCAUUACUAGAAGCUACAUACACGGAGUCCCAGGCCAGCUGGAGCGGUGGCAGCUGUGAGCAUGACGGUGGAGAGAAGAAUGUUGGGGAGAUGGGAGUUUGCGGCUGAUAAGAGUAGCCUGUAGUUCUCUCUUCCUUCAAAAAGCUCUUCUGAUCUUGAUGCCUACCUAGGGCCUUGCAUUUGUCCAGUGGGUGGAUGUUGUUUGCAUUUUUGCAGCUCUCAGGGUUCUUUCUGUGUGACAGCACCGGGUCAGGGUGGCCAGUGCUCAUCUAGGGAGGUAACAUAGGGGUCUGACUGCGUUUUGUGCAGCACGUGUCUGUCAUGUGGGAGUUCUUGGGUUGCCUUAAAUGUGAUGGUGGUUGCAUUCGCCUCCCUGUGGACCAUGGUCAUCUCUCCCCUGCAUCUGUGCCGUUCCAGGCCAGUUUGCACACAGAUUCAUUCACUGCCCUUCCCCACUCUGCUCUGAGCUGGCUGAGACUAAAAGGUGGGAGGAGGGGAGAAGCCCAGGUACGUCUCUUCUUCCCUCCCUGCUUUUGACAGUGUCUCGGUCGGCAUCUCGCUGUGACUCCCAUCGGCACCAGACAGUGCUCUGGGUUCUGAGACCCCCACCUCUUCCCCUAACUUGUGUACAGCGGC
ensembl:lncRNA